GGGGAUAUAGCUCAGUUGGUAGAGUGCUUGUCUCACAUGCAUAAGGUCCUGGGUUCAAUCCCCAAUACCA
rnacentral:tRNA from 1 species